rnacentral:tRNA from 1 species
AAGAUUUUAAGUUAAGCUAGACUAUAGGCCUUCAAAGUCUACAGAGAAAAAUAUAUUUUCAAAUCUUG